AUGUGCCCGAGAGUUGUUCGGUUUUUGCAGGUGAACCGAUGCUUAUAUACAAGGGAGUCCGAGUCAUACCGUGGUGAGCAUGCCGCAAUAGUCUUUUUAGUGAGCGGAAGCCUGAAGCGGUAAGCAGGACACCCACCUUUAACGGUGGGUUCCCUUUGCAGACCGAACAACUAAAAAACUGGCACAUU
rnacentral:other from 1 species